UACGUAGGUGGCAAGCGUUGUCCGGAUUUACUGGGCGUAAAGAGCGCGCAGGCGGUCGUUCAAGUCGCGUGUGAAAGCCCCCGGCUCAACCGGGGAACGGCGCGGGAAACUAGCAGGCUUGAGUUCGGGAGAGGGAAGCGGAAUUCCGGGUGUAGCGGUGAAAUGCGCAGAUAUCCGGAGGAACACCGGUGGCGAAGGCGGCUUCCUGGACCGACACUGACGCUGAGGCGCGAAAGCUAGGGGAGCAAACGGG
rnacentral:rRNA from 1 species